rnacentral:ncRNA from 1 species
AAAAUGGCGAUGAAUAAAAGGAGUAGUCUGGACAGAUUGAAAGAGAGUCCUCGGGUGGUGGAAGAGGAUAUGAAGGAAAGACGAAGGUAGUUUAGGAGCCGGUCUCUGAGUUUAGUAAGAGAUUCCGUGAUGCUGCGUUAAAGCAUUAAGGCAUGCUGCUGCAUGCGAAUUAAGGUGGUACCACGUCAAGCACGUCCUUAUG